CCGGGUUUGACAUACAAGUAGUAGUGAAGCGAAAGCGGAACGACCUUCGGGAGCUUGAACAGGUGCUGCAUGGCUGUCGUCAGCUCGUGCCGUGAGGUGUUCGGUUAAGUCCGCAAACGAGCGCAACCCUCGGCGUUAGUUACGAGUGUCUAACGCAACUGCCCGUGAGAAACGGGAGGAAGGUGGGGAUGACGUCAAGUCAGCAUGGCCUUUAUAUCCGGGGCUACACACACGCUACAAUGGGCGGUACAACGGGUCGCGAAGCCGCGAGGUGGAGCCAAUCCAGAAAGCCGUUCGUAGUUCGGAUUGCAGGCUGCAACUCGCCUGCAUGAAGUCGGAGUUGCUAGUAACCGCAGGUCAGCUAUACUGCGGUGAAUACGUUCCC
rnacentral:rRNA from 1 species